rnacentral:lncRNA from 1 species
AACAAAUCCUUUAUUUCUCUGGGAACGAUCCCAUUCCUGGGAUCCAGGCUGGGAUGGGGAUUUGGGAUGGAUUUGGGGCCGUCCUUUUUGGGAUCACCCCUGGCCCCUUUGGGAUGGAUUUGGGAUUUUCCCCUUUGGGAUGAGUUUGGGAUUUCUCCCCAGUCUCUUUGGGGUGGAUUUGGGAUUUUCUCUUUUGGGAUGUGUUUGGGAUUUGCCUUUGGGGUGGGUUUGGAGUUUCCCUUUGGGAUGGAUUUAGGGUCAGUCCCUUAGGGUGAGCUCCUCUGGGGCGGGUUUGGGGUCAUUCCCUUUGGGGAUGGAUUUGGAAUUUCUCCUUGGGGUCAGUCCCUUAUGGGAUGGAUUUUGGGGUCAUUCCCUUUUGGGGUGGAUUUUGGGGUCAUUCCCUUUUGGGGCGGAUUUUGGGGUCAUUCCCUUUUGGGGUGAAUUUUGGGGUCAUUCCUUUUUGGGGCGGGUUUGGGGUCAGUCCAUUUUGGGAUGGGUUUGGGGUCAUUCCCUUUGGGGAUGGAUUUGGAAUUUCUCCUUUGAGUCAGUCCCUUAUGGGAUGGAUUUGGGGUCAGUCCCUUUUGGGGUGGGUUAUAGAACAGUCCCUUGUGGCGGUUUGGGGUCAUUCCCUUUUGGGGUGGAUUUUGGGAUCAUUCCUUUUUGGGGUGCGUUUGGGGUCAGUCCUUUUUGGGGUGGAUUUUGGGGUCAUUCCUUUUUGGGGUGGGUUUGGGGUCAGUCCCUUAUGGGAUAGAUUUGGCGUUAUUCCCUUUAUGGGAUGGAUUUAGUGUCAGUCCCUUUGGGAUUUCUCCUUUGGGGUCGGUCCCUUUUGGGAUGGAUUUGGGGUCAGUCUCUAUGGGAUGCGAUGGGUUUUGGGAUCAUCUCCUUUUGGGAUGUAUUUUGGUGUCAGUCUGUCCAGCUGGCGUCAGUCUGUCCGGUUGGUCGGUGUCAGUCUGUCUGGCCGCUGUCAGUCUGUCCGGUUGCUGUCAGUCUGUCCAGCUCGUGUCAGUCUGUCCAGUCAGUCACUGUCAGUCUGUCCGGUUGGUCGGUGUCAGUCUGUCCGGUUGGUGUCAGUCUGUCCGGUC